rnacentral:rRNA from 1 species
GACGAACGCUGGCGGCGUGCUUAACACAUGCAAGUCGAACGGAAAGGCCCCUUUGGGGGUACUCGAGUGGCGAACGGGUGAGUAACACGUGAGUAACCUGCCCUCGACUUCGGGAUAACUUCAGGAAACUGGGGCUAAUACCGGAUAGGAAUCCUUGCUGCAUGGCGGGGGUUGGAAAGCUUCGGCGGUUUUGGAUGGACUCGCGGCUUAUCAGCUUGUUGGUGGGGUAGUGGCUUACCAAGGCUUUGACGGGUAGCCGGCCUGAGAGGGCGACCGGCCACAUUGGGACUGAGAUACGGCCCAGACUCCUACGGGAGGCAGCAGUGGGGAAUAUUGCACAAUGGGCGGAAGCCUGAUGCAGCAACGCCGCGUGCGGGAUGACGGCCUUCGGGUUGUAAACCGCUUUCAGCAGGGGCGAAGCUUGUGGUGACGGUACCUGCAGAAGAAGCACCGGCUAACUACGUG